ensembl:snRNA U6 U6 spliceosomal RNA
CAGAUUAGCAUGGAUCCUGCAUGAGAAUGACACGCAAAUUUGUAAAACUUUCCAUAUUUUU